GGCUGCUGGAGGGCGAGGACGCACACAUCUCUUCCCAGUACUCCUCUGCGAUGUCCUCACACUCUGGUAGAGACGCCAUUACAUCCUCGCGCCAGGUGCGCACCAUCGUGGAGGAGGUGCAGGACGGGAAGGUGAUCUCCUCCCGUGAGCAGAUCACACAGGCUGCACUCUGAGUGCUCCACUCUGGUCCCUCAGCUUCGCUUCAUGCCGCACCGCUGCAGCCCACUCCCGUCCUCUAAGCAUCGUGCUGAGUGUGGGCAUCAAAUAAAGCUUUUGGCAUUUGUGCACACCCGUGCCUCGUCUCGCUGCUUGGCUGGGCCUCUCAUUUAUUCACCUGCUGGACACGGGGCUCUGGUGAGCACCCUGUGCAGUGCAGCCCGGGCAGCGGGGGGGCUGUGAGGGGAGGGGUUGGGCUGCAGGGGGUGAUGCUCCUCUG